UAAGAAGAAGACAGAUGAGGCUUUUGCACUUGUACUCCAGCAUAGCAAACAGGUAUCCUAAACAUGUGCUUGUUACCUUAUGCAACAACAUGGCUGAUCUGACUCCACCAUUAAGUCCUAGUUCCGGGUAGGAAGAAAGCCAAGAGCAAAAGGUGUCACCUACGUGCUAGCAAAGUCUGUCCAAAAACCUGCUGGGAGGAGAUUUUACAGAAAACCCACAGAACAAGUUUGGUUUUCCCUUUCUUAAAUUUUGGUAAAAUAUAUAUAAUAUUUGCCAUUGUAAAUGUUUGUAAGCAUACAAUUCAGUGGCAUUAAUCACAUUCACAAGGUUAUGCAAUCAUCACCUCUAUUUCUAAAAUUGUUUCAUAUAUCUAACAAAAAUUCUGUAACUAUUAAGCAAUAACUCCUCAUUCCUGUCUCCUCUCAGCCCCUGAUAAACUCUAAUCUACUGUCUGUCUCUGUGCACUUGCCUGUUUACGUACCUCAUAUAAAUGGAAUCAUGCCAU
rnacentral:lncRNA from 1 species